rnacentral:rRNA from 1 species
UACGAAGGGGGCUAGCGUUGCUCGGAAUCACUGGGCGUAAAGGGUGCGUAGGCGGGUCUCUAAGUCAGGGGUGAAAUCCUGGAGCUCAACUCCAGAACUGCCUUUGAUACUGAAGAUCUUGAGUUCGGGAGAGGUGAGUGGAACUGCGAGUGUAGAGGUGAAAUUCGUAGAUAUUCGCAAGAACACCGGUGGCGAAGGCGGCUCACUGGCUCAUAUCUGACGCUCAGGCGCGACAGCGUGGGGAUCAAACAGG